ensembl:lncRNA
CUCCGCCACACCAUCUUGUGCUCUUUGAUAGAAGAAAUUCAACGUCACUUCUUCAAGUUCAACCUGACAUAGGCCGGCCAUCUUGAGAGUUCACAAUUAUAUUUUGUACAGGGAUGGUUAGCAGUAGACAACUGUGCACUUGUCGUAGCAUGGGGAACCGUUCCAGUUAAGAACUGGUACCACACUGCACAGUCUUCAUCUUUAACUACAGCUGCAGGUAUCAGCCCACCAAAAGCUUCAGGCAAGUUUUACUGGGUUAUACACUAGGUUCAGAUUUUGCAGCAUCCCAAUAUUCCCUUUAAAGGAAAGACCAAGGGUAGAUUGGCUUUAUUUUGUGCACUGUGUAAAGUUGUAUCUUCAACUUUUUGCCAUCUUUUCUUACCAAAGACUGAGCAUUAGCCCAUGUAACAUGGAUUUUCUUGUCAAAGAAACAGACUAGACUUAACUUGCUCUCGACCAAGUUAAGUCUAGUUGUUAAAGCUCAAACACCUUCAGAACUGAAGUUGCUGUAACACAUACAGCCAAAUUCAAAAAAGUUUCGGGGGCUUUUUUGUUUUUGUAAAUAGUUUUGAUGAAGAAAAGCACCAAGACUUCUUUUUUUUUUCUACUCAAAAAAAUACACAGACGUGAAAUGGUUUUAUGCUCAUGUUGAGCAUUAAAUCAGCUGGGUUUUUCUUCUUCUUCUCUUUUUUUCUUCUUCUCAGUCUGAAUCUUGCAUGUGGCUUCAGUGUGAAGACAGUUUUAGGAGGCACUUGUUUACACAGUUGCUCCAAGCUCCAACUGUUUGUAAAUACUGUAAAUCCCCAAUUUUGAAUAUAUCUGAUAUUUUUUGUUACUAACUAUGGUAACUAGGGAAUUGGCUAAUAUUUGAUUGUCUAUGAAUCCUUUGUGUAUUUGGUGGUUUGUGGAAAAAAUGGCAAAUGGCUGACUGAAUAUGACAGUGGAUCCUGUAGAUAUGGUGCAGGGGGAUGGCAGGCAUGAAAGAGAGUCAUUUUCCUCUGUGGCAACUUAAGAUCCUGCUUGUGUCACCUGAAUAUAGCAGAAACAAGUGUUGUGCUUUUCUCCUCACAUUUAUCUGUUUGUAUAUAAAAUUAAAUAUCAUAACCUGUCUAUUUUGCUAGAAAUAGUAUGGAGGGGUUUUCAUAAAGGCUCAUGGCUGCCCAGAGUGUCCACUAGAGGGCAACACCAGAUCCAGCAGUGAGUGUACUACAGUGAUUCCACAGCUUGUUUUUUCUCUUCGCCUGCAGGAAUAAUAAUGAUAAUAAUAAUAAUAACGAUAAUAAUAAUAAAGUUAAACUGACUAUCAUUCCCUUGUUUCCUUCAACCAACAAUUUUAAAAAGAAAGUGUUUUACUUUUUGAAUAGAUUGGAUUAGCUUAAUCGCUUUCUUUCACCAGCAAAGUUCAAAGAUCUUCAGGAUCAUGGCUCAACAGCUAUGAAUAAGUAAAGUGACACACAUCGGUACACCCUGAAAUAAUUUUGCACUUGAUAUAUUAUCUGCUGAUUAUUAGUAAUUUAAAAAAAAUUCUAGGUGACAACUUUAACUUUAGCAUAAAAUAUUUUUAUGAAUAAUUAGUCACUUUGCCAAAACAAAUUGCAGGAAAUUGUAUUUUUUUAAGUCAGCUACCAUAGACAUCUCCAACUUAUAUUGAUAGACAGAAAUAAAAGAGUACUUCAAUAAAAGAUGUACUUUUCCUUUGUGUCAAACAAAUCUCCGUAAAUGUAAUUAGUAAAUAUAAUUAUGAAGUCUAUAACUUGUAAUUUAUAUGCACAUGUUUGUGUAAAACAAAAAAGGUAAAUUUGACAACCAUGCAUAAGUCAAAUUUACCUGCAGGAGAAAAAAACAAGUGGAAACUACGCUGGCCAGAAAAGUUCAGUUCCAACUUUUCCUAGAAGCAACAGCAGUGCUGACAUGCUGGUGUGCUCCUUCACAUUCUACUUGCUGACAGCAUAAUGUGUUGCCUGAGUCCAGCAUGAAAUACUUGGUUAUUUAUUUGUUUUGUAUUCUAAACAUAAUGUUUAUUUUCAUUAAAACUGAUGAAAAGUUGUGACUGGAAUGCGUGUGGGUUUUUCUUUGUUUGUUUUUAAUAAUGUGCUCUCAGCUUGGUCCAUAAAAUGAUUCCUUGCUACAGAGAAAUGCCUUUUCCAAGUCCAAAAAACACGUGUGGACUGGUUGGGUAAAAUCGCAUGCACCCAAAAUAUCCUUGAGAGGAUAAAAAGCUGGUCCAGAUUGAGGAGUGUUCCUCUGCUGUGUCUGUAGAAAGC